GGAAGCGCUGCACAUUUGCGCUGGAAGAGCAUCCUGCAUUCAGCAGCUUAAAGACACCGGGAGAGACAGCAAGACUGGAGAGGAAGGGACACAGCAAAGAGUGACAGGAAGAUGGAGGAAGAAAAAAAAAGUGUUCAUAACAGGAAAAAGGGUUCAUUUCUGUCUGGAUGGUGUGAGGGAAACGGAGGAAUGGGAGGAAGAGAUUAUUACAGAAGCGUAACUUUGGAGCCAAAGGACAGCGAGAGACAUUUCUGAAGCAUUGAAGGAGAUACACGCACAAAAGAGGGAGAGGAAGCGAAGGGUCGAUUUAUCUUAUAUUGACAGGAGCGGCUUCAAACGAUGACCUUGAGGACUAAUGAGAAUAUUUCAAGCUCACAUAACCAUGUGGACCACCAUGAUCAGUCUGUUAUUGCGGUAAUAAUUUAAUAAUAUUU